AGAAGUCGUAACAAGGUUUCCGUAGGUUAACAUGCGGAAGGAUCAUUG
rnacentral:rRNA from 1 species